rnacentral:rRNA from 1 species
GAGACACGGUCCAGACUCCUACGGGAGGCAGCAGUGGGGAAUAUUGCACAAUGGAGGGAACUCUGAUGCAGCGACGCCGCGUGAGUGAAGAAGGUCUUCGGAUCGUAAAACUCUGUCCUUGGUGAAGAAAAGGACGGUAGCCAAGGAGGAAGCCCCGGCUAACUACGUGCCAGCAGCCGCGGUAAUACGUAGGGGGCGAGCGUUGUCCGGAUUUACUGGGCGUAAAGGGUGAGUAGGCGGUUAUAUAUGUCAGGUGUAAAAAGCUAUGGCUUAACCAUAGUAAGCACUUGAAACUGUAUGACUUGAGUGCAGGAGAGGUAAGCGGAAUUCCUAGUGUAGCGGUGAAAUGCGUAGAUAUUAGGAGGAACACCGGUGGCGAAGGCGGCUUACUGGACUGUAACUGACGCUGAGUCACGAAAGCGUGGGUAGCAAACAGGAUUAGAUACCCUGGUAGUCCACGCUGUAAACGAUGAGUGCUAGGUGUUGGGUAGCGAUAUUCAGUGCCGGAGUAAACACAAUAAGCACUCCGCCUGGGGAGUACGGUCGCAAGACUGAAACUCAAAGGAAUUGACGGGGACCCGCACAAGCAGCGGAGCAUGUGGUUUAAUUCGAAGCAACGCGAAGAACCUUACCAGGACUUGACAUCCUCCUGACAGGCCCUUAAACGGGCCCUUCUUCGGACAGGAGAGACAGGUGGUGCAUGGUUGUCGUCAGCUCGUGUCGUGAGAUGUUGGGUUAAGUCCCGCAACGAGCGCAACCC